rnacentral:rRNA from 1 species
UACGGAGGGGGCGAGCGUUAUUCGGAAUUAUUGGGCGUAAAGGGCGCGUAGGCGGUCCGACAAGUCAAAGGUGAAAUCCCUCGGCUCAACUGAGGAACUGCCUUUGAAACUGUCGGACUUGAGUCCGGGAGAGGGUAGUGGGAUUCCCAAUGUAGCGGUGAAAUGCGUAGAUAUUGGGAGGAACACCAGUGGCGAAGGCGGCUACCUGGCCCAUUCUUGACGCUGAGGCGCGAAAGCUAGGGGAGCAAACGGG